rnacentral:rRNA from 1 species
GACGAACGCUGGCGGCGUGCUUAACACAUGCAAGUCGAACGGAAGGGCCCUGCUUUUGUGGGGUGCUCGAGUGGCGAACGGGUGAGUAACACGUGAGUAACGUGCCCUUGACUUUGGGAUAACUUCAGGAAACUGGGGCUAAUACCGGAUAGGAGCUCCUGCUGCAUGGUGGGGGUUGGAAAGUUUCGGCGGUUGGGGAUGGACUCGCGGCUUAUCAGCUUGUUGGUGGGGUAGUGGCUUACCAAGGCUUUGACGGGUAGCCGGCCUGAGAGGGUGACCGGCCACAUUGGGACUGAGAUACGGCCCAGACUCCUACGGGAGGCAGCAGUGGGGAAUAUUGCACAAUGGGCGGAAGCCUGAUGCAGCAACGCCGCGUGCGGGAUGACGGCCUUCGGGUUGUAAACCGCUUUCGCCUGUGACGAAGCGUGAGUGACGGUAAUGGGUAAAGAAGCACCGGCUAACUACGUG